rnacentral:misc_RNA from 1 species
CAAAAAUUGAAAAUCUCAUUAUAGUACAUGAUCUACACAUAAAUAUAGCCAUCAGUGAUUCAUGCUUCUGAUUCAAGACACAAACUUUCCACAGCCAACAAGGUUCAAUACAUGACAUAAUUAACAUAUAAAAAAACUCUCAUGUAUAUAUCUGGGCCGAGUUCCUAAGAUCAAGAGACAGGGCAAUUUAUGAAAGUUGUAAGGUGCACCGAGAGCACUUAAAUUUAGUGCUCCUUUACUCACAUAAAAUUGAGUCCCUAAUGAAAUAAAGAGGGUGAACGCUACUUGUACGUGAGUGAGAGAGCAUGAACACCGGAAACAAUCCCUAGGUGCUUUGUAUAAUUAAGGAUACUAUGCUUGCCAUAGAGACUUCAACAACAUCAAGCGUCAAGGACCUCUAAUUGUCAUGAAUGCAGUUGCAUUCUUAUUGCCUUUAAGAACGUUAAUAGCCUCAGUAAACUCAGUAUCAUUCAACUCUUCCAAUUUUGGCAACUCCUCUAGGCACUUUUGAUAAAUAGUUUUCUCAUUAAUGACAUUCCUUUGCAUAGUUCUCAAUGUGGCUGUUGAGAACAUAUCAUAUAAAGCAUUCUCAAAUGUCUCUCCAACAUCAUCGCACACUCUUCUCUUACGACCUCUUGCUGAUGCAGCAAAAGAUUUCUGCUUCCUUGGUUGUGUCAUUUAUGCGGAUUAGUGAAUCAGAAUCAAGUGUACCGUCAAUUACUUGAGUAGCUAGGUUAAUAGGCUCUGAAGAUUGCACUGUUUCCGUGUUGCUGUUUCCAUCUUCAGUUUCUACAGAUAUUCCACUUGGAACCAGGAAUUUCCCGGUAACUCUUUCUCCUGUACCAGGCAUGUAACUAAAUCCUAGAACAUUGAAUAACACAAGUAAUAAAGAAAUGUCAUUUACCUUCAAAUAAUAUGGACAUCUCUUUAUACAGAGGAAAGCUCUUUCACCGAAAUGGCCUUGCUUCACUUUGAACCUACAAUAACGUGCACUCAGCUUCUCUCAAUGCAUUGAAUGAGAUCUAAACUAAGUUACAUACCAUAUGUAGCUACCCCAAACUUUGUCAUCAGCGAUGACCAUUUGGUGUGUUUCAGACCAGCCAAAUUCAGUGUGACUAAGCAAGAUUUUAACAAUGCCGUAAUCUUUCUUCAUUACAUUGUAAUGGUUUUUAAUCUGGUUUUCCUCCAAAUUCAUGCCAAACUUCUUAUUAAAAUCAUGGGCAACAGACCUGAUCACUUUGUUUUUAAAUUCAUUGUAGGCAGUUCUUCCUCGAUUAUGUUGCUCGAUAAAAAGCUCAACCAGAUAAGCAUCGCGAGUUGGAGUCCAUUCUGCCUUGGGUUGCCCUAAGAUCCCAUCCUGUGCAGCAGACAUAUUGUAGCCCUUUG